CAACUCCUGCAUCGAUGUGUGCAAUGUUUCGGGCGGCGAACGUUGCAGGGGUCGUUUUCGCAGUAAGAUUUAGGGUAAUUUUCAACCCCAGCUAGCGGUAAUAAAAUAUGUAUAAAACAAGACGUUGUUAGACACUCCCUCGCUGCAUUUCUGUUGCAGAAUCCAGCUGCCGCGAAUGAAAACGCCUCAGCACUCGUGUGUCCUUGCGCCUUGUUGGGCGCUGGCCGCGUCUAACGACGCAAGGCCCAACUGAGCAUCCCGGGUUACGCCUUUGCUUUGUUACAAUGGUAUCGAGACGGGGCCGCACGAAUUCCGACGAAAUCUUCGGGUCGGCGGUUCGAUUUUGACAACAUGCAGGUAUCGCAGAAUGCGAUAUCAUGGGUAAUGGAUAAACCAGCGCACAAUGCGUGAGGUGGGAUGGCUCCAAUGCUCGAUAUAAUGGCCGCGGACGUCCAUUGCUAAAGGGGGGGCAAUGUAACGACGCAAGGCCCAACUGAGCAUCCCGGGUUACGCCUUUGCUUUGUUACACCGCGGGUCACGCAGACGAGUUGGUUCUUGCCCACCUUUCAGGUCCCUAGAUGCUUGCCUCUCUUAUUCAAUAACACCGCAACCUGGCAAGAAUGACGUGAUAGGAGGCGCUGCGGCCCCAUUCUUGCCAGGUUGCACAAAGAGUAAUUGUGUCUCAGUCCGAGCAUGCUCGUCCAUUUUUCAUCCAGCAUCUAAUAGGUUCUUGCCCACCUUCCAGGUGGGUAAACCAACCUGCACAGCUGCAUGGCGGGAUCGUGACUGCGCUUGUGGCCUCCAAGGCACAAAACAGGUACAAGACGAAGAAUUUUAGUGUAGUGUGGAGUUUGUUACACGAGCACAACUCAUCAGUUAGUUUUGCUCCUCGUAAGCUUUCCGUCGGUAAUCGCACCUCAUUCGACUUACCAUACUCCUACCAUUUAUCAUCAGCCAACAACAUACGCUGCAGCACCCCGAACCACACCCACUACACGGUAAGACAUUUAUUUAGGUGGGCAAGCCUAGCUUACAUACGCUUAGCGUGAG
rnacentral:lncRNA from 1 species